rnacentral:lncRNA from 1 species
GUUCAUGAUCGGCUUUUGCCUUAGGGGGCUUUCAUUCCGCUCAGACGUCUCCUCUGGUGUGCGGGCCCCAUGGUUGGUUCGGUGUUUUGUGUGGGAUGUGCUUCCAGGGGGGCUGCAGCUCUUUAGUAGGGUGGUCAUUGACUAGCUUCUCCUUUUUGCUUCUAGUAAAGAUUUCCUUGAAGGCUGAUACCACAUCUCUCGCUAAAGCGGCAUGUGAAUAUAAUAUUGAAGUUGAUUGGGCAGGUGCGAGAGUAGUUCGGGGCCUGGAGAAAGACAAGAACGCAAUCCUUGCCGAGUCUAUGGAAAUCUUUACUAGAAGUAAA